rnacentral:rRNA from 1 species
GACGAACGCUGGCGGCGUGCCUAAUACAUGCAAGUCGAACGAGAGCGACCGGUGCUUGCACUGGUCAAUCUAGUGGCGAACGGGUGAGUAACACGUGGGUAACCUGCCCAUCAGAGGGGGAUAACAUUCGGAAACGGAUGCUAAAACCGCAUAGGUCUUCGAACCGCAUGGUUUGAAGAGGAAAAGAGGCGCAAGCUUCUGCUGAUGGAUGGACCCGCGGUGCAUUAGCUAGUUGGUGAGGUAACGGCUCACCAAGGCCGUGAUGCAUAGCCGACCUGAGAGGGUGAUCGGCCACAUUGGGACUGAGACACGGACCAAACUCCUACGGGAGGCAGCAGUAGGGAAUCUUCCGCAAUGGACGCAAGUCUGACGGAGCAACGCCGCGUGAGUGAAGAAGGUUUUCGGAUCGUAAAACUCUGUUGUUAGAGAAGAAUAAGUGCUAGAGUAACUGUUAGCGCCUUGACGGUAUCUAACCAGAAAGCCACGGCUAACUACGUG